rnacentral:sRNA from 1 species
AAAACAAAAAUAAAAAACAAUUACGGAAAAAAAAAACCAAAAAUAGAAAAAACCAAAAAGAAAAAAGGAAAAA